rnacentral:rRNA from 1 species
AUCAUGAGUUCACAUGUCCGCAUGAUUAAAGGUAUUUUCCGGUAGACGAUGGGGAUGCGUUCCAUUAGAUAGUAGGCGGGGUAACGGCCCACCUAGUCAACGAUGGAUAGGGGUUCUGAGAGGAAGGUCCCCCACAUUGGAACUGAGACACGGUCCAAACUCCUACGGGAGGCAGCAGUGAGGAAUAUUGGUCAAUGGGCGAUGGCCUGAACCAGCCAAGUAGCGUGAAGGAUGACUGCCCUAUGGGUUGUAAACUUCUUUUAUAAAGGAAUAAAGUCGGGUAUGCAUACCCGUUUGCAUGUACUUUAUGUAUAAGGAUCGGCUAACUCCGUGCCAGCAGCCGCGGUAAUACGGAGGAUCCGAGCGUUAUCCGGAUUUAUUGGGUUUAAAGGGAGCGUAGAUGGAUGUUUAAGUCAGUUGUGAAAGUUUGCGGCUCAACCGUAAAAUUGCAGUUGAUACUGGAUGUCUUGAGUGCAGUUGAGGCAGGCGGAAUUCGUGGUGUAGCGGUGAAAUGCUUAGAUAUCACGAAGAACUCCGAUUG